UGCCCUUGUUGUUCUCUUGUUAUUGGAAGUGUGAGAAAGUGUGUGGUGACCAUGCCAAAAAAAUCAGUAACCUUUCAGUGGCAGUUUGUAGAGCACAGUGAAACAUUGCAAAAAGCUGCCGUCACACAAGGACUUUCUCCCUUGGCUGCAGGCACAUUUGAACUGUGAUAUCUAGGGGGUGGAAAGCUGAGAGUGAUUUCUCAACAUUGUUCCUGAAAUAAUCCUGCUAAAGUCAAGAGGGCUCCUUGAACAGAGCCCCUGGAGUCCUACAGUGCUCAGAGUCACGGCAACAUCUCUGUGCCCCACACAGAGGCUGAGGUGAAGAAAAGGCCCCUCUCCCCUUUGAGGUGAAUUUGGCACCUCUCAAGAUCACAGACUGUCAUCCUGGUUUGGCACAAGAUAGGAAUUGGAAUGGUUGGUGAUAAAUGGAUUACACAGCGCUCUUUGUUUCAGCGCAAAGCCUGUGAAAUAAAUGCAAAUUCCUCCCCACACCACCAGCAGCACUGCAGCAGGUCUGGCUUCAGCAGGAAGGAUGGAGAGUCUCCAGUUUCUGCCCAGUGCCCAGGAUCCUGCCUGCAAGGGAGAUUUAACUGGUGGGACAUGUAUCCAUACCCAGUCUGGUGAGUGGGAUUGAAGGUCUUCCUUUUCCCAGGGGAGCAUUUCCACCAGGGGAGGCCUCAAUAGCUUUUUCAAACAAAAAGAGGGAGCCUUGCACAACACGCUGGCCUGCACUCCCAAAGAUUGCCAAAGAGGCCUUUGCACUCUCUAAACUUGACCAGAAAUUCCCAUUCUUUGGUCCUGCUCACAGGUUUCCUGUUUUAGCACUGGUAUUUUAGAUCCAAGUUCCAAAACACAUAGUUCAGUUCACUUCAGGUGCUUAAAAAAACACAGAUCUGUGCCUAACUCUGUCCUUUAUACUGGUUCUGACCCUCAGAAGCCAGAAGGUGCUGGCAAGCUCUGCUGCAGCUCCAUAUGAUUGCUUUGUGGCUCCCUCUGCUCUUUAGAGGGGAAGGAAGACAUGUUCUUGCUCCCAUCCAGGCUCCAUUGCCAGGCUCUGAUCUUCCAAAUUAUCACCCUACAGAGAGACCUUUAACAAGGGCUGGCUUGUCCCCUCUGCUGGGUCUCCAGCAAGCAUUUCUUCAGUGUCAGAGCUGCAACUCUGCAUUUUUCUGCCUCCUCACAUAGGAUCUUUCUGCUUCUUACUCACUCCUUCCCCUCACUCCCCAUCCCUCUCCUCUCUUUCAACUCAUUCCAUCAUUUUCACUGAGGAGGAUCUCUCCCGUGGUUUUUAUUGCCAGCCCAUGUUGUCCUGACAUGAAAAGCUAAUUCAAAAGGAGACAACUUCUUCAGAGGGAAUUGAAGACUGCAGCCAUAUUCUCAGCUUUAUGUGGGAUCAGAAAUUGACAGAAAAACAUAAAUCAUAAGAACUAGAGCUGAUUUGCAACAGGCAGAGCUUACAGUUCCUGGCACAACAGCAACAAAUUGGAAUUUGGCUUGUACUGAGUGAGAGCCCUUCUCACUGAUCCCUCUAGACACUGAUCACACUGGGUAGCGAGAACCAGGCUUGGAGAUGGACUGACAGAUGUGAGUGGCAAGAAAAGGGCUGAGGUUGUGCCCCACUUCACCUUACAGCCUCUGCUCAGAGAAACUGUAUGCUAAAGAUUCAAACACAUUCUGCUUUU
rnacentral:lncRNA from 1 species